UACCUGGUUGAUCCUGCCUGUAGUUCAUACUUGUGUUAAAAGAUAAAACCAAGCAUGUCUUAGUUCACACCUUCAUACCGUGAAACCGCAAAUGGCUCAUUAAAUAAGCUAUUGUUUACUGGAUCACAUCCGUUAAAUGGAUAACUAUGGUAACUUUAGAGCUUAUUCAUGCCCCUUAGCCCUGACCCGCCUGGUAAUGGUUGCACUUAUUAGAUCAGAAGUCAACCAGGUAGUGUUCUUCUGCCUUCAGCUGACAGCUCCAAUACCUCUCGUUCUAUUUGUGACACUGGAAAAAUGUAACAGACCGCAGUCGGCCUUGCGUCGGCGACGGUCCUUCAAAUGUCUACUCUAUUAACUGUCUAUGGUAGGUGACCUGCCUACCAUGGUGAUAACGGGUAACGGGGAAUCGGGGUUCGAUUCUGGAGAGAGAGCUAAAGAAACGAUUUCCGCUUACAUGGGAGGCAGCUGGAACGCAAAUUACCCCCUCCCAGUACGGGGAGGUGGUGACGAAAAAUACUGAUUCAGAACUUUUAUUUAGGCUUCGUAAUCGGAAUGAGUAAACUCUAAAUCCUUUCACGAGGAUCAAUAAGAGGGAAAGUCUGGUGCCAGCAGCCAAAGUAACUCCAGCUCAAAAAGCGGAUAUUAAAGAUGCUGCAGUUAAAAAGCUCGUAGUUGAAUCUCUGUAUCACUGUCGCCUCUAAGUACAACACUGAUUUUUCUGGUGUUUUUGGGACCUUGCUUCGCUCGGUGCCUUUUGCGCAGGCAUGGUUAUGGACGUUGUGGCGUGGUGGUUGUUUCAACUUGCAGCAAUGUCUGUGGUGAAAUACCCGAAGGUGUACGCGUGUGUGAGGCAGUGCUCUGCGACAGAAGGGUCAUUCGGCUCGUCUGCAUGCCUUUGAAUGCCCCUAGAAAGGUGUCAAUGGGUGGAUAGCACGUUUACGUUGAGCAAAUUUGAAUGCUGAAACCAGGCCGAUGUUACCUGAAAAGGUUUGCAUGGAAUAAUGGAAUAUGACAUCUGUUCAAUUUCUUUGGUUUUCUGAUCCGAAGUAAUGAUCAACAGUGACAGGUGAAGACGUUUGUAUGGUUGCGCUAGAGUUUAAAUUCAUGGAAUGUAACCAGACAAACUAAAGUGAACGCAUUCGUCAAACAUGAUUUAAAUGGCUAUGAGCGAAAGUCAAAGCCUCGAAAGGUGAUCAGAUACCAUCCGUAUGCUGACCAUAAACGAUGGUAACUGAAGAUCAAUGGUGGUAGGAAUUUAACCAUCACAACGGGCAGUGCCCGGGAAACCUGGGUUCUGCUGGUAGUAUGGUUGAAAGCUAAAACUAAAAGGAAUUGACGGAAGCGCACAACCAGGAGUGGAGCCUGUGGCUUAAUUUUACUCAACACGGGAAAACGCAACCAGCCCAGAUACUGUUGGGAUUGACAGAUUGCUCGCUCUCUCUUGAUUUGGUGGUUGUUAAUGCAUGGCCGUUUUACUUGGUGUUGCAAUUUGUCUGGUUACUUUCGAUAACGAACGAGAUUCUAGCCUUCUUAUUAGUUUGCCUGUCUUCUGUCCCUGUGCUGGCGGCAUUUUGGCGAAACGGAACACUUCAGCUGACUUCUUUUGUUCUGCGCAUUUCUCUGCGCGCGUUGCUGCGAGCCCUUCCCGAGGCGAGUAGUGCACGCGCGUGUAAAGCGUGGACUGUGGUAGGAGGUAUGAGCGGAGGGUUCAGCGCUAGCCUCCGGGUACGGCGCAUGUGUGUUUUCUUCUUAGAGGCACAAACGUAACGAAUGUGCUAGAAAUUGAGCAAUAACAGGUCUUUGAUGCCCUGAGAUGUCCAGGGCCACACGCGCGCUUCAAUGACGCUGCCAACGAGUUUGACCGUCUGGCCCGAAAGGGUUGGGUAAACCGGUUAAUCAACGCCAUGGCAGGGAUCGGGGCUAUGAAUUGUUCUCCCGUGUACGUGGAAUUCCUAGAAAUUUCAUGUCAUAGGUUUGCGCGGAUUACGUCCCUGCCCUUUGUACACACCGCCCGUCACUAUUACCAGUUGCUAGUUUUAGUAAGGGGUUCUGAUCAGCGCCAUUGCAGUGCCAGCCACAAGGUUGGUGCUCGACAGGUACCGAGAAGACGACCAAACUUGAUCAUUUAGAGGAAGUAAACGUAGUAACAACGUUUCCACAGGUUAACAUGCGGAAUGAUCAUAA
rnacentral:rRNA from 1 species